rnacentral:tRNA from 1 species
GCCGCCGUAGCUCAGCCCGGUUAGAGCGGCGGGCUGUUAACCUAAGGCGGACACCCGUAGGUCCCGGGUUCAAAUCCCGGCGGCGGCG